rnacentral:rRNA from 1 species
CCCUUAGAUGUCCUGGGCUGCACGCGCGCUACACUGACGAACUCAACGAGCUUAUCACCUUGGCAGAGAUGUCUGGGUAAUCUUUUGAAAGUUCGUCGUGCUGGGGAUAGAUGAUUGUAAUUAUUCGUCUUGAACGAGGAAUUCCUAGUAAGUGUGAGUCAUCAGCUCGCGCUGAUUACGUCCCUGCCCUUUGUACACACCGCCCGUCGCUCCUACCGAUUGAAUGGUCCGGUGAGGUUCUCGGAUUUUUUCUGUUGUUUGGUUCACUAAACGAUUGAAGAGAGAAGUUACCCAAACCUUACCAUUUAGAGGAAGGAGAAGUCGUAACA